rnacentral:tRNA from 1 species
GGGGGCAUCGUAUAGUGGUAGUACAGCGGUCUCCAAAACCGUUAGCGUGGGUUCAAUUCCUACUGCCCCUGCCA